GACAGAGGGUGCAAACGUUGUUCGGAAUUACUGGGCGUAAAGCGCGUGUAGGCGGCCCGGCAAGUCGGAUGUGAAAGCCCUGGGCUUAACCCAGGAAGUGCAUUCGAAACUCCCGGGCUUGAGUUCUGGAGAGGAAGGCGGAAUUCUCGGUGUAGAGGUGAAAUUCGUAGAUAUCGAGAGGAACACCGGUGGCGAAGGCGGCCUUCUGGACAGUGACUGACGCUGAGACGCGAAAGCGUGGGGAGCAAACAGG
rnacentral:rRNA from 1 species